AGAGUUUGAUCCUGGCUCAGAUUGAACGCUGGCGGCACGCUUAACACAUGCAAGUCGAACGGCAGCGGGAGAAAGCUUGCUUUCUUGCCGGCGAGUGGCGGACGGGUGAGUAAUGCGUAGGAAUCUGCCCUGAAGUGGGGGACAACCCGGGGAAACUCGGGCUAAAACCGCAUAAUCUUUUCGAAGCAAAGCUGGCUACUUGUAGCUGGUGCUUUAGGAGGGGCCUACGUUAGAUUAGCUUGUUGGUGGGGUAAAGGCUCACCAAGGCGAUGAUCUAUAGCUGUUCUGAGAGGAAGAUCAGCCACACUGGGACUGAGACACGGCCCAGACUCCUACGGGAGGCAGCAGUGGGGAAUAUUGGACAAUGGGGGCAACCCUGAUCCAGCGAUGCCGCGUGUGUGAAGAAGGCCUGCGGGUUGUAAAGCACUUUUAAUGGGGAGGAAUAGUUCUGCGUAAAUAGCGCAGAGCAGUGACGUUACCCAUAGAAUAAGCACCGGCAAACUCUGUGCCAGCAGCCGCGGUAAUACAGAGGGUGCGAGCGUUAAUCGGAAUGACUGGGCGUAAAGGGCACGUAGGCGGUUAGACAAGUUAGAUGUGAAAUCCCAGGGCUUAACCUUGGAACCGCAUCUAAAACUGUUUGACUAGAGUUCACUAGAGGGAAGUGGAAUUUCCGGUGUAGCGGUGAAAUGCGUAGAUAUCGGAAGGAACACCAGUGGCGAAGGCGGCUUCCUGGAGUUGAACUGACGCUAAGGUGCGAAAGCGUGGGGAGCGAACGGGAUUAGAUACCCCGGUAGUCCACGCUGUAAACGAUGAGUACUAGCUGUUGGAAUGCGACGACAUUUUAGUAGCGUAGUUAACGCGAUAAGUACUCCGCCUGGGGAUUACGGCCGCAAGGCUAAAACUCAAAGGAAUUGACGGGGGCCCGCACAAGCGGUGGAACAUGUGGUUUAAUUCGAUGCAACGCGAAGAACCUUACCCACUCUUGACAUCUAUGGAACAUCUGAGAGAUCAGUUGGUGCCGGAAACGGAACCAUAAGACAGGUGCUGCAUGGCUGUCGUCAGCUCGUGUCGUGAGAUGUUGGGUUAAGUCCCGUAACGAGCGCAACCCUUGUCCUUAGUUGCCAGCACAUUAUGGUGGGGACUCUAAGGAGACUGCCGGUGAUAAGCCGGAGGAAGGUGGGGACGACGUCAAGUCAUCAUGGCCUUUAUGAGUGGGGCUACACACGUGUUACAAUGGGCAGUACAGAGGGAGGCAAAGCCGUGAGGUGGAGCGGAACUCACAAAGCUGUUCGUAGUCCGGAUUGAAGUCUGCAAUUCGACUUCAUGAAGCUGGAAUCGCUAGUAAUCGCGAAUCAGAACGUCGCGGUGAAUACGUUCCCGGGCCUUGUACACACCGCCCGUCACACCAUGGGAGUGGGUUGCAAAAGAAGUGGGUAGCUUAACAUUGGGCGCUCACCACUUUGUGAUUCAUGACUGGGGUGAAGUCGUAACAAGGUAACC
rnacentral:rRNA from 1 species